UUGAUCCUGGCUCAGAUUGAACGCUGGCGGCAGGCCUAACACAUGCAAGUCGAGCGGCAGCACAAGUGAGUUUACUCAUGAGGUGGCGAGCGGCGGACGGGUGAGUAAUGCCUAGGGAUCUGCCCAGUCGAGGGGGAUAACAGUUGGAAACGACUGCUAAUACCGCAUACGCCCUACGGGGGAAAGAGGGGGACUUUCGGGCCUCUCGCGAUUGGAUGAACCUAGGUGGGAUUAGCUAGUUGGUGAGGUAAUGGCUCACCAAGGCGACGAUCCCUAGCUGUUCUGAGAGGAUGAUCAGCCACACUGGGACUGAGACACGGCCCAGACUCCUACGGGAGGCAGCAGUGGGGAAUAUUGCACAAUGGGGGAAACCCUGAUGCAGCCAUGCCGCGUGUGUGAAGAAGGCCUUCGGGUUGUAAAGCACUUUCAGUAGGGAGGAAAGGGUAAGUCCUAAUACGCUUAUCUGUGACGUUACCUACAGAAGAAGACCGCUAACUCCAG
rnacentral:rRNA from 1 species